CGUCGCGACGAAUCUGUUAUUCUGUCGUAGAAGAAAAACUGGCCUUUGUUUAAUACGAGGAGUAGUGGAUAUGUACAUAGCAGACAGGAUGUGCUACCAGCAACGGCGGUGACUCUUUUGGCUUAUCCGAUGGCGUACCAUUUGGGGUAGUUUCAGACAGGAAUAAUUGAUACAUGCCUGUAAACGAGCGAACAGCGCCAUCCAAGACACUAAGCUAUUGUAGACGGCACGGCGACUGCGGACGUAACGGACGUUAGCAAUACGCUAAGAGUUUUAGCCCAGAAGCAAGGCGGAUGUUUACCGUUAGCUACGAGACAAUUAGAUCUGCGGUCGUAUGCAUGUCAUACGCCGCCGGCGUAACAAAUUGAUUCAGUCCUCGGCCGUGAUCGGAUCGCGUCAACUUGACAUUGCAGCCACACUGUUCCUAUCACGAAACCUACGAGCUCGUUAUCUGAAGAAGAUUAGAAGAUCGUUGUGCACGUAGAUCAAUUAAGACACAUUCCACACGACUUGUGUAUAUGAAGAAAGAUACUCAUUAAUAAAGAAGAAAGACCGACGGCAUUUUCGAGCCUAUAAACAAAAAUAGGUCUUAACUUAACAGAAUUAUGCUUCUACGAGGCAGGUACCACAAAAAGGCAUUGAUCCGUGCAAUGGCGACGUACGAAAGCGGAACAUUCGACUAAGAGCGAGACCUAAUUUAUUGAAAAGAAGGAAAACUUAAAAGAUGAAAAAGCUAGUAAUCGAAUGAAUCUUUAAGUCAGGGUGCGGCCGCGAGAAAUCAUUUUGAACUAUCCUAUAUUAUUCUUACGAUUUCAACUAUGCGUGCCAGCAGACAAUGCACUAGGCUGGCCAUCUCAUCUUUUAAGGUAAAUUUAGGCCCAUCGAACCGAACUAGCCUUGAGAAGAGUCAUUUUUGAUAAAAAGAACAACUCAUACACCCGAGUGAACGCAGGCGAUAAAACACGGGAUAUAAUGUACGCCAACAUAGAACAAGGUCAC